rnacentral:rRNA from 1 species
GCUGGAAUCGCUAGUAAUCGCAGAUCAGAAUGCUGCGGUGAAUACGUUCCCGGGUCUUGUACACACCGCCCGUCACACCAUGGGAGUCGGAAAUGCCCGAAGCCAGUGACCCAACCUUAAGGAGGGAGCUGUCGAAGGUGGAGCCGAUAACUGGGGUGAAGUCGUAACAAGGUAUC